UGACGCUGGCGGCCGCUUACACAUGCGACCGUCAAGCGGAGAGAGGUAGCUUGCCCACUGAUCUUAAGCGGCGGACGGGUGAGUAAUGCUUAGGAAUCUGCCUAUUAGUGGGGGACAACAUUUCGAAAGGAAUGCUAAUACCGCAUACGUCCUACGGGAGAAAGCAGGGGAUCUUCGGACCUUGCGCUAAUAGAUGAGCCUAAGUCGGAUUAGCUAGUUGGUGGGGUAAAGGCCUACCAAGGCGACGAUCUGUAGCGGGUCUGAGAGGAUGAUCCGCCACACUGGGACUGAGACACGGCCCAGACUCCUACGGGAGGCAGCAGUGGGGAAUAUUGGACAAUGGGCGCAAGCCUGAUCCAGCCAUGCCGCGUGUGUGAAGAAGGCCUUAUGGUUGUAAAGCACUUUAAGCGAGGAGGAGGCUACUUUAGUUAAUACCUAGAGAUAGUGGACGUUACUCGCAGAAUAAGCACCGGCUAACUCUGUGCCAGCAGCCGCGGUAAUACAGAGGGUGCAAGCGUUAAUCGGAUUUACUGGGCGUAAAGCGCGCGUAGGCGGCUAAUUAAGUCA
rnacentral:rRNA from 1 species